CUUCUCCUAUGCUUUCUGAAUAUACUUUUGUUUUCAUGGGGGAAUUGAACUGUAAAUCCUCUUUUGCUAAUUUGAAGUCAUUAGUCACUUGUUCUCUAGUCAGUAUUAUGUGUCCUUAUGGUGAUGUGUUUCUUUUACGUCUUCUUUAACUUUGAUUGGACAGACUUUUGCUGAUGCUCUUAUGGUUGUUGACAAGAUCUCCCUUGAUGAUGACUUCUUUGAGAUCGGUGGCAAUUCUCUAUUAGCAGCUCAUGUCUCCUAUAAUCUAGGAAUCAAUAUGAAGGACUUGUAUGCUUUUCCAACUCCAUUGAAACUUCAGAAGGCCAUUCAACUUAAAAAAGUGUCCUCUAGCCGUGAACUUAGAGCUGAUGCUUUAGUGGGAGUGAACUCGCAAGAGCAAGAGAAAAGCAAGCUUCCUUCUAAUAAAUCUUGGAUGCCUGGUGCAGAUAACAGUACCGCUUUGAGUUUGACCAGUGAUUAUCCCGUUAAACGUUUGAAAACAGAUUCAGAUUUGUAUAUUGAUUCCAACGAUGCUAAUGGAAGAGAUAUGAAUAAUUCAACUUCUUCACAGGUUUCAUGUUCUUACAGUCGGUGCAACAAAAUAAGGCAUGAUGCUG
rnacentral:misc_RNA from 1 species